rnacentral:sRNA from 1 species
AACUUUCUCGAGAACAAAUUGAAGGGCUCAUGGAGGAUAGACGGAUUCACCUUGAGGAAAUACAAGUUCAGCACCAGAGAAAUCAGAACAAAAUCAAAGAGCUAACCAAAAAUCUUCACCACACCCAAGAACUGCUCUAUGAGAGCACCAAAGAUUUUCUGCAACUCAGAUCUGAAAACCAAAAUAAAGAGAAGUCAUGGAUGCUUGAAAAAGAUAAUUUGAUGUCAAAGAUUAAGCAAUAUAGGGUGCAGUGUAAGAAGAAAGAAGAUAAAAUUGGAAAAGUGUUGCCCGUUAUGCCUGAGAGUCACCAUGCUCAAAGUGAAUAUAUUAAGGUAAUGUCCUUAUGUCUUAACAAAGUUAUUUAUUUUUCUGGAAAUUGAAGGAAUU